rnacentral:snoRNA from 1 species
AUGGAAGGCUGUGAUGACCAAAAAAAUACCUACCUAUUUUCUGACUCCUGACGAGAGAACCAGUGAAAUUUUCCGAGCCUUCCA